GGGAGAUUUAUGCAUCAUUCUGCGGGCUCCUGUAGCUGCUUAGGGAUGACCCUUCCACUGCUGCUCGCUUCAAGCUUGAUCAGAUACUCUUUCUACUGAUACGCAAGGUGUAAAACUGCCGUGUUAUGUGGUAGAUUGGUGUGUGUACUGUUUUCUUUAUGUGUAAAACUGUCUGCUUGAUCAGGGGCCAAAUAAAAUCCAAGAAUCAAGGUUGCAAUGGAUUUCCUCGGGUAACAUGCUGGCUGUGGAUUAUAAAAUCUGGUGAAAACCAAACGCGGCCUUAGAUUGAGCACAGGUUGUCAAUCAGGAUCAGGUUUGCUGAAAUCCGGCUUACAUAAUUUGUCCUUCUGUAAAUAUGUCCGUGCCUAGAUCAUUUCCCCCUCUGUCUGUCGGCAGAUGGCAGUGGCAUGCUGAUGGAAAAUGCAGUGCCUUCAUGGGUGUGGUCCAAAUCUGUAUCGCUUUAUUUGCAAAAUCUGCUAUCUGCAUCCAGCUGAUGAAACGCACAUGCAGACACAAAGUAAGUGAUGAGAAACACGCGGGCUUUUCCUUGUCCAUCCCAUGUAUCCUGAAUCCCUAAUGCAGCGCAGCAGCGGUAGUCGUCCAAGUGUAGCACAUGUCCUGAGCGCGUGAAUUCAUAAUGAAACUCUGGUCGGCUCAGAUUAAAGCUAGCUGUUUGGACUUAUACAGCUGCAAUCCGUAGAGAUAAAAAUAUUGUAGAAACAGUAGAAGCCGGUAAAGAUAGGACUGUUGAAUUUU
rnacentral:lncRNA from 7 species